rnacentral:lncRNA from 1 species
CUCGGACUCGGAGACAAUCUUCUCAAGGCAGGAGAACUGGCUGGCUGACUCUCCCUUGGACAACAGUUUAUCCCCAGACACCCUAGCUUGGAGCAUGGCUCUGGCAAUCUAUUAAGGAAUGUUCCUUUUUGAGGGGAGAGAAGGGGCAAAGAAGCAGUUCCAUGUCUCUAACGUUCUGUCCUUCGUAUCUAUCACAAUUUUAAAUAUGCUCAACCUUUGACCCAGCAAUUCUACUUCUAGGAAGACAGCCUGAAGAAAUUCGAGUACAAGUAUUCCAGAAUAAAUGUCUUUCAGUGGACUUUAGAGUUAACAAUAGUGAGCAUUUCUCAAGCUACAGCCAAAGAAACUCCCUUAGGAAAGAUACGAGCAAAACUGCAGAGAGUGACUCAUAACUUGAGGAGUAUUUCGUCUAAGGAGCAGCCUGUGUGCAGAAAAGCGAAAAAAGUUGAGGAACACUGCUCUUGAUGGUCAAGACUGUCUAAUUGAGAUGUUGAUAUAGGAAGAUAUUGGAAACAUGCCGUCCUCAAGCAAGGACUCCUCCUUUUCCUGAGUUGUCAAGC